GCGAUCGUAACUCAGUGGUAGAGUGCCUGCCCGACACGCAGGAAGCCCCUGGUUCAAAUCCAGGCGAUCGCACCA
rnacentral:tRNA from 2 species